CGCAUGCGCAGUGCCGACUGCCGCUGUUGUUGGGGGUUCUCCGACUGGAGCGGAAGAAGUGCUGGAGUGGUGCUCCGGUGAGCUCCGGAGGUGCUCUGCACCCCUGUUUAGAUCCAAGUAAAAUGGACCCGGGGAUCAAGCUGCCCCGGUUUAUGAGGUGUUGAGCGAGUAUUUCUGGUCUGGGAUCAAAUGUUUGUUUCUGGAGUUCCUUUGGAAGCAAUGCUGCUAAUCUGAGGAGAGAAUGAGUUUGUAUUCCAUCCCUCACAAGGACAGGCUUUAGACCUGCGGUGAGAGAUUUAUUGGAAGAAAAGCCCACAAAACUGGAAGCAAACCACGACUGUAGACGAGGGAACAGCAGCGAGUGAACCAGCCCGAGGACUGAGAGCACCGACUGGAGAGAAACCCUUUUGACUCAGGGUUUCCAUUGAUUCAGUCAGGAGCAAGUCUGUCCAAUUCGCAGCUCUAUUUAAAAUGGCCUCGACCCGAAACGUCGACUCUUUAUUCACCUCCAUAGAUGCUGUCUGAACUGCCGAACCCCUCCAGCAUUCUGUGUGGGUUAACAAACUUUCAGGAAGGAACUGAUGAAAUCAUUUGACUAUCAAUAAAGAGUAAUCAAUCCUGGAAUAUGUAUGAUGGACAUGGGGAAAAACGAGUACAUCCAAUCUAAAGGGUGUAAGAAACGCCAAAUAUCAACAAUACCACA